CGCAUUGUUUUGAAACUUGUUCGGUCAAAUUUUAUGGUAAAGAGAAACUUACUGCGAAGAUUUUGAGCAUAUAUAUGAUUGAGUUGGAUGAAAAAUCGCAAAAUUAUCCAGCGAUAAAUGUUCGUGUGAAAUGGUCAGUUGGUCAGUUGGAGCGUUUUAUUGCCAGAAAUACUGUGCUAUGUUAACAUCUAGCCUUGUGAAUGGUGUUUUAUACUUGCAUCUCUCAUCAUCAUCUGCUCUGUCCUCAUAAUUAUGAAAAAUGAACUGUUAUGUACCCCCCCCCCCUCCUUGCUUGUUAGAGAAGUAAACUGAUGAGAGCACUGGAUGAGGGUCUAUCAUCUAUGGUCUGUUAUAAUUUGCUUUUUAUGCAAAUAGUGAGC